rnacentral:misc_RNA from 2 species
AGAGUUUGCAAUGCCCAAAGUCGGUGAGAUAACCUUUAUAGGAGUCAGCCGCCUAAGGUAGGGCAGAUGACUGGGGUGAAGUCGUAACAAGGUAGCCGUAGGAGAACCUGCGGCUGGAUCACCUCCUUUCUAAGGAAAACGGAUGGAUGGAGAGCAGAAAUGCUAAGAGAAGUCCAUCAGUUACGGAAGCACACUGCAAAAGAAACUUUGUUCAGUUUUGAGAGUAUCAGCUCUCACUUGUACGUUGAAAACUGAAUAUCUUAAUUCCAAGAAAAAACCGAGAAUCAUUGAGAUCAAUGAAAACAUUGCAAAGCGACCGACAGAGUUCCAAAGAACAAACUUGCAAGGUCAAGUGAAGAAGGGCGCACGGUGAAUGCCUUGGCACUGGAACCCGAUGAAGGACGCGACUAACCGCGAAAGUUUUCGGCGAGCCGUAAGUAGGCUUUGAUCCGGAGGUCUCCGAAUGGGGAACCCAGCAUGUGCAGACAUGCUAUUCUUAAGUGAAUCCAAGCUUGUUGGCGGCAGACGCGGGGA